ACGCUCGACACCUACGGGAGACAGCAGUAGGGAAUCUUCCACAAUGGACGCAAGUCUGAUGGAGCAACGCCGCGUGAGUGAAGAAGGUCUUCGGAUCGUAAAACUCUGUUGUUAGAGAAGAACACGAGUGAGAGUAACUGUUCAUUCGAUGACGGUAUCUAACCAGCAAGUCACGGCUAACUACGUGCCAGUAGCCGCGGUAAUCUGAGCGGGCUGGCAAGGC
rnacentral:rRNA from 1 species